ACGUUAGCGACGGACGGGUGAGUAACACGUGGGUAACCUACCUAUAAGACUGGGAUAACUCCGGGAAACCGGGGCUAAUACCGGAUAACACAUGAAACCGCAUGGUUUCAUGAUGAAAGACGGUUUUGCUGUCACUUAUAGAUGGACCCGCGGCGUAUUAGCUAGUUGGUAAGGUAACGGCUUACCAAGGCAACGAUACGUAGCCGACCUGAGAGGGUGAUCGGCCACACUGGAACUGAGACACGGUCCAG
rnacentral:rRNA from 1 species